UGAAUGAGAAUGUAUUGUUAGCUGUCUCGUCUGGUUAAAUAAAAGUUAAAUAAACUCCUGAUAAAAUGUCUACUUUCCUAUCCACAGACCAACCAGGAUGUCAGAUCAGCCAUGUCUCCAUUCUCAGAACUGCCUGAGACCCCCAGCAUCCGCAACAUCAAGACCAUGUGGGAGAAAGGCAACGUUGUGGGGGCCACAGAAUGCCCCAAAGCUAUGAAUAAGGAUCUGAAACCUGUGAUUGUCGGCAACAAGCGCAGCCUAUGGGGAAACAAAGGGCUCCUCCCCUUCUAAGGAGACAGUUGGAGUCAAGAGCAAAUCUGUCACAAAUGGUGUUGGAUGUUAACAAUAUAAGAGGAAAACCCCUCAGGAAGAAGCCCCAACUGAUGAAAUGCAAGACUCUACGAUGUGUAUUCAUAACACAAAAUAUCUCCAUAACAACCACAUGGUUCACGUUAGGUUUUAGGGGGAGGGAGUACAGGUUAUUCAUUUUGGUUGGUAUUCAGAGUUGAGAUCCUCAUGUUUAACUCUUACUUUUGUGUAAAUCAUUCAUUGAUGUCAAUGGGAGACAUGCGCCAAAAUUUGAAUACCAUCUCAAAAUACAUAUUAGUACUUUAUUUAUAGCCCUUUAUAUUAUUUUAGAUUGUUGAUGAAACGGCUUUUGCACAAUCCCUUGUACGUCCUAAUAGAAUCAAUGCUGUGAAAAUGACAUUUGAUCAACCACAUUUGUAGGAAAUA